rnacentral:rRNA from 1 species
ACUUUGAUUAUGGCUCGGAACGAACGCUGGCGGCAGGCCUAACACAUGCAAGUCGAGCGCGCCCUUCGGGGUGAGCGGCGGACGGGUUAGUAACGCGUGGGAACGUGCCCUUUGGUACGGAAUAGCCUCUGGAAACGGAGAGUAAUACCGUAUGAGCCCUUCGGGGGAAAGAUUUAUCGCCAAAGGAUCGGCCCGCGUUAGAUUAGGUAGUUGGUGGGGUAAUGGCCUACCAAGCCUACGAUCUAUAGCUGGUUUUAGAGGAUGAUCAGCAACACUGGGACUGAGACACGGCCCAGACUCCUACGGGAGGCAGCAGUGGGGAAUCUUGGACAAUGGGGGCAACCCUGAUCCAGCCAUGCCGCGUGAGUGAUGAAGGCCUUAGGGUCGUAAAGCUCUUUCGCCUGUGAAGAUAAUGACGGUAGCAGGUAAAGAAACCCCGGCUAACUCCGUGCCAGCAGCCGCGGUA